AGUCUCAGCUGUAAAAAUAGAGUCCCCAGGGAAUACUGAUAGCCUUUUUCCAAUAAAGCGAAAUCUAUUUGCAAUAAUAGGUAUAUGCAAAGACCUCCUGAAAUUACAGGAGCAAACUCCUUCCGCAUCUCGACCUAAUUAAGAUCCGUUACUCAACAGUGAUCAGUCAGAUUUUACUGUAAGAAGGAAGAAAACAAGGAUCCUGCUAGAACAACAUGGAAACAGGCUGAUCUUAGGACCUACAACAAAGAGAUUUCUCACUGGCUUCCUGGUGGUUCAUUCAAUAGGGAAUUCCUGCAGCAAGUUGGAGGGAGGGAGGAGAAGCAGGGAGGCCACCUCCUGUCAAAGCUGGGACAUCUGAGAGACAGUGGUCACACAACAACUCAACUGCAUGUGCACCUAAAACAGUAGCUUAUUUUCUCUGAC